UACAGAGGUCUCAAGCGUUGUUCGGAUUCAUUGGGCGUAAAGGGUGCGUAGGCGGCGCGGUAAGUCGGGUGUGAAAUCCUGAGGCUUAACCUCGGAACUGCAUUCGAUACUGCGGUGCUUGAGGACUGGAGAGGAGACUGGAAUUCAUGGUGUAGCAGUGAAAUGCGUAGAGAUCAUGAGGAAGACCAGUGGCGAAGGCGGGUCUCUGGACAGUUCCUGACACUGAGGCACGAAGGCCAGGGGAGCAAACGGG
rnacentral:rRNA from 1 species